rnacentral:lncRNA from 1 species
CACACGGUGCGGAAAGUCAUCGCGGCGCCGGUUAGUUGUAGCUCCGCCCAAAACAGUGUUGCCCGACCGACCAUACAACAGCAACAAAAAAAAUGUCGCCAAAAGUUCUUUUUCUCCAUAAUUAAAUAUAUUAAAAUGAUGCGGAGAAAUAAAAUAAGUUAACAUCGGCAUGGAUUUAUGCAAAUAAACAAUGUAGUAUAUGUAGUGAUACAUUAUUGGUUGUACGCGGAAGAAACUAGUACUGAGAUGUUGGUAACAAUGGCAGUACGAAGGCAGGGACUGCAAGCAAGUGUUAGCUUGUGUUCCGUGCUGCUGCUUCUUGCUUCGUGCUUUCCGCAAGUCAGGCGUGAGCGAAACUGAAAUGGUCCUUACUCAGCGCCGCAAAAGACUGCUGUUACUGAAAAAGAAAGUUCUUCUUAUUCAAAAAAGCCUGGAAGAAGAACGCUGGCGCAGAUGGUGGGUCCGACCCUCGUGGAGAACGCGACACGCCGAGAGCGAGUUUUUCACCACGAUGGAAAAAAUGCGGGAUGGCGACAUCGACUACUUCAAAAAAUACUACCGCAUGGUUCCCCAGCAGUUUGAUUUCCUGUUAAGUCUUGUUGGAAGGGACCUGCAAAGGCUUUAUUGCAUUAAGGAGCCCAUUUCAUCAGCGGAACGACUGGCCAUGACGCUCAUGUAUUUGUCUUCUGGAGACCUGAUUCAAG